UAUUAUCCCUGCAGGAGGCUCCAAUGGGUCUCAGUGAGACUCCUCUCCAGAAAGGUGUCAUCCGCCUUUGUCUUUUUAGGUGAGGCUGUGGCUGGUGCAAGGAAGCACAGUGCAUCUGAAACAGAGUCGUGGCACAGCUGUCAGGAGCACGCAGCAGCUGUAGGCAGUUGGUCAUUUUGAUGCUGUGGUCAAUCAUAUAAAUUUUAAGUGAAGGCACUGUAGUAGAACAGAGACAAGAAAAGCCACGGUGGUAGUCUUGACUGCGUAUUUGGAGCACAGGAUGUGAAAUGACAGCUCAGCUCUGACAGCCGUGUCCUCAUUCCCAAGAAGAAGCUUCUAAUUCGGCCUGUUAACACUAACCAGACAUCAGAAUUGCAGUUUAUCAUCUGAUUAACGCUAAUAGCUACGAUAACCAGGUAGGUGUAUGUGGGGCAGAGUCCACGUUCAGCUCCGAGCCAUCGGCCAGCUCAUGCAGUUUUGGGCAAUACCAGAUGGGCUGUUUGUUUUUUCACGCGUAUCAAGGCUGGAAUAUAUUCUAUUUCAAGAGGAAAAAGUGGCUGGUGAGGGAAAGAUAAAGGGAUCAAUGAGCUUACCCCCGAGCUGUUACUUCUAACCACCGCUAGCUGAGGACAGCCCUUGCUACAUUAACUAGACUGAGGAGUGUUUCAAAGAAACAGGAGGCAAAGAGGCUGGAAAUAAGAAGACAAAAAAAAGUAAAAUAAA